rnacentral:rRNA from 1 species
GACGAACGCUGGCGGCGUGCUUAACACAUGCAAGUCGAACGGAAAGGCCCCGCUUUUGUGGGGUGCUCGAGUGGCGAACGGGUGAGCAACACGUGAGUAACCUGCCCUUGACUUUGGGAUAACUUCAGGAAACUGGGGCUAAUACCGGAUAGGAGCUCCUGCUGCAUGGUGGGGGUUGGAAAGUUUCGGCGGUUGGGGAUAGACUCGCGGCUUAUCAGCUUGUUGGUGGGGUAGUGGCUUACCAAGGCUUUGACGGGUAGCCGGCCUGAGAGGGUGACCGGCCACAUUGGGACUGAGAUACGGCCCAGACUCCUACGGGAGGCAGCAGUGGGGAAUAUGGCACAGUGGGCGGAAGCCUGAUGCAGCAACGCCGCGUGCGGGAUGACGGCCUUCGGGUUGUAAACCGCUUUCGCCUGUGACGAAGCGUGAGUGACGGUAAUGGGUAAAGAAGCACCGGCUAACUACGUG